UCUUCAGACAAUCAAAAGGAUGCCAGAACUUCUUAGAUGCAGAGCCUGAAGAGUCUCACGUCUGAGCUCAACAGAUAAAAUAGUGAGGUUGGCUGUGUACUGUAGGACUGACGGCCCCAGGGGGAGCCUGCCUGAUGGUCAGAGAGAUGCUUUCCUGUGCUUUCCAGAAUGAUACAGAAACCCAGACCCCUAGUGGGCACCCACGGAAACGCAGCAUCCGUAGGAUCAGCACUGGUCAACAGCCAAGAUAUCCCUGCUUCCGGUUGAGAACGCCAAUCCUGUGUCGAGGCUGGACCCUGGCAGAGACUAUAGAGACACACACUGAUGACGAUUAACUCCGUGGGGAAUGCAGAGGCUCACUUCUUUAUUUUUAAACUGCAGGUGAAGCUUUAGGGUAACAGUGGGUGUGAGCAUGCGUCGGUUGAACGCCUCUCAGAUCCAGCCCAUCAAUUUACCAACUCAUCAGAUUACUCAUGCGUGCAUUCCCUGACCAAGUGAUGUCAUCUCUGAGACUUUACUCUUCCCGCACACGUGAACAACUGAAAUACGCUAAGCUUAUCUUCUAUGUCUGUGGACACUCCAGUAGCCAUCCAAACACAAUCAGGUAAGUUAUUUGUGUUAUUAUAACCAGCAAUGAA
rnacentral:lncRNA from 1 species